AACGAACGCUGGCGGCAGGCCUAACACAUGCAAGUCGAACGCUCGUAGCAAUACGAGAGUGGCAGACGGGUGAGUAACACGUGGGAACCUUCCCUAUGGUUCGGAAUAGCCCAGGGAAACUUGGGGUAAUACCGGAUAAGCCCUUCGGGGAAAGAUUUAUCGCCAUUGGAUGGGCCCGCGUCGGAUUAGCUAGUUGGUGAGGUAACGGCUCACCAAGGCGACGAUCCGUAGCUGGUCUGAGAGGAUGAUCAGCCACACUGGGACUGAGACACGGCCCAGACUCCUACGGGAGGCAGCAGUGGGGAAUAUUGGACAAUGGGCGCAAGCCUGAUCCAGCCAUGCCGCGUGAGUGACGAAGGCCUUAGGGUUGUAAAGCUCUUUUGGCGGGGAGGAUAAUGACGGUACCCGCAGAAUAAGCUCCGGCUAACUUCGUGCCAGCCGCCGCCGUAAG
rnacentral:rRNA from 1 species